rnacentral:tRNA from 1 species
CGCGCGCGUGCUGCACCGGGUGGCGGUGGCGCCCUGAGGGGGCGCGGGGCCGUAUCGAAGUGCGGCUCCGCCGCGUGGGCGCGA